rnacentral:rRNA from 1 species
AACGAACGCUGGCGGCGUGCCUAACACAUGCAAGUCGAACGAUGCCUUCGGGCAUAGUGGCGCACGGGUGCGUAACGCGUGGGAAUCUGCCUUUCGGUUCGGAAUAACUCAGGGAAACUUGAGCUAAUACCGGAUAACGUCGCAAGACCAAAGAUUUAUCACCGAAAGAUGAGCCCGCGUAGGAUUAGCUAGUUGGUGAGGUAAAGGCUCACCAAGGCGACGAUCCUUAGCUGGUCUGAGAGGAUGAUCAGCCACACUGGGACUGAGACACGGCCCAGACUCCUACGGGAGGCAGCAGUGGGGAAUAUUGGACAAUGGGCGAAGGCCUGAUCCAGCAAUGCCGCGUGAGUGAUGAAGGCCUUAGGGUUGUAAAGCUCUUUUACCCGGGAAGAUAAUGACGGUACCGGGAGAAUAAGCCCCGGCUAACUCCGUG